rnacentral:rRNA from 1 species
GUGCCAGCAGCCGCGGUAAUACGUAGGGGGCUAGCGUUGUCCGGAAUUAUUGGGCGUAAAGCGCGUGUAGGCGGCUUGGCGAGUCCGAUGUGAAAGCUCGAGGCUCAACCUCGAGUCUGCAUUGGAAACUGCUUGGCUAGAGUCCGGAAGAGGGGACUGGAAUUCCUGGUGUAGCGGUGAAAUGCGCAGAUAUCAGGAAGAACACCGGUGGCGAGGGCGGGUCCCUGGGACGGUACUGACGCUGAGACGCGAAAGCGUGGGGAGCAAACAGGAUUAGAUACCCUGGUAGUCCACACCGUAA